rnacentral:misc_RNA from 1 species
AUGAAGAACGUAGUGAAAUGCGAUAAGUAAUGCGAAUUGCAGAAUUCAGUGAGUCAUCGAAUCUUUGAACGCACAUUGCGCCCUGUGGUAUUCCGCAGGGCAUGCCUGUUCGAGCGUCAUUUCAACCCUCAAGCUCUGCUUGGUGUUGGGCCCUGCCCGCUGCGGCCGGCCCUAAAGACAGUGGCGGUGCCGCCUGGCCCUGAGCGUAGUACAUCUCUCGCUCCAGUGCCCGGUGGUAGCCUGCCAGAACCCCAACUCUCGUGGUUGACCUCGGAUCAGGUAGGGAUACCCGCUGAACUUAAGCAUAUCAAUAAGCAGAGGA